rnacentral:tRNA from 1 species
GCCGAGGUGGCGGAACGGCAGACGCGCUAGCUUCAGGAGCUAGUGGGCUUAACGCCCGUGAGGGUUCAAAUCCCUCCCCCGGCACCA